AGGGUUUGAUCAUGGCUCAGAUUGAACGCUGGCGGCAGGCCUAAUACAUGCAAGUCGAGCGCGAAAACCUUCGGGUGAGUAGAGCGGCGGACGGGUGAGUAACGCGUGGGAAUCUACCUAGUAGUGGGGGACAACUUGUGGAAACGCAAGCUAAUACCGCAUACGUCCUACGGGAGAAAGGGGGCUUCGGCUCUCGCUAUUGGAUGAGCCCGCGUUAGAUUAGCUAGUUGGUAGGGUAAAGGCCUACCAAGGCGACGAUCUAUAGCUGGUCUUAGAGGAUGAUCAGCCACACUGGAACUGAGACACGGUCCAGACUCCUACGGGAGGCAGCAGUAGGGAAUAUUGGACAAUGGGCGCAAGCCUGAUCCAGCCAUGCCGCGUGUGUGAAGAAGGCUCUAGGGUUGUAAAGCACUUUCAGUAGGGAGGAAAAGCUAGUAGUUAAUACCUGCUAGCCCUGACGUUACCUACAGAAGAAGCACCGGCAAACUCCGUGCCAGCAGCCGCGGUAAUACGGAGGGUGCGAGCGUUAAUCGGAAUUACUGGGCGUAAAGCGCGCGUAGGUGGUUUGUUAAGCGUGAUGUGAAAGCCCCGGGCUCAACCUGGGAACUGCAUCACGAACUGGCAGACUAGAGUACUGUAGAGGGUAGUAGAAUUUCUGGUGUAGCAGUGAAAUGCGUAGAUAUC
rnacentral:rRNA from 1 species